UACAGAGGUCCCAAGCGUUGUUCGGAUUCACUGGGCGUAAAGGGUGCGUAGGUGGUCGGGUAAGUCUGAUGUGAAAUCUCCGAGCUUAACUCGGAAACUGCAUCGGAUACUAUCUGGCUUGAGGAUCGGAGGGGAGACUGGAAUUCUCGGUGUAGCAGUGAAAUGCGUAGAUAUCGAGAGGAACACCAGUGGCGAAGGCGAGUCUCUAGACGAUUCCUGACGCUGAGGCACGAAAGCUAGGGGAGCAAACAGG
rnacentral:rRNA from 1 species